rnacentral:rRNA from 1 species
CGCCUACCGCAUGGUGGGUGUUGGAAAGAUUUAUCGGUUUUGGAUGGACUCGCGGCCUAUCAGCUUGUUGGUGAGGUAAUGGCUCACCAAGGCGACGACGGGUAGCCGGCCUGAGAGGGUGACCGGCCACACUGGGACUGAGACACGGCCCAGACUCCUACGGGAGGCAGCAGUGGGGAAUAUUGCACAAUGGGCGCAAGCCUGAUGCAGCGACGCCGCGUGAGGGAUGACGGCCUUCGGGUUGUAAACCUCUUUCAGUAGGGAAGAAGCGAAAGUGACGGUACCUGCAGAAGAAGCACCGGCUAACUACGUGCCAGCAGCCGCGGUAAUACGUAGGGUGCGAGCGUUAUCCGGAAUUAUUGGGCGUAAAGAGCUCGUAGGCGGUUUGUCGCGUCUGUCGUGAAAGUCCGGGGCUUAACCCCGGAUCUGCGGUGGGUACGGGCAGACUAGAGUGCAGUAGGGGAGACUGGAAUUCCUGGUGUAGCGGUGGAAUGCGCAGAUAUCAGGAGGAACACCGAUGGCGAAGGCAGGUCUCUGGGCUGUAACUGACGCUGAGGAGCGAAAGCAUGGGGAGCGAACAGGAUUAGAUACCCUGGUAGUCCAUGCCGUAAACGUUGGGCACUAGGUGUGGGGACCAUUCCACGGUUUCCGCGCCGCAGCUAACGCAUUAAGUGCCCCGCCUGGGGAGUACG